rnacentral:rRNA from 1 species
GACGAACGCUGGCGGCGUGCUUAACACAUGCAAGUCGAACGGAAAGGCCCUGCUUUUGUGGGGUGCUCGAGUGGCGAACGGGUGAGUAACACGUGAGUAACCUGCCCUUGACUUUGGGAUAACUUCAGGAAACUGGGGCUAAUAACGGAUAGGAGCUCCUGCUGCAUGGUGGGGGUUGGAAAGUUUCGGCGGUUGGGGAUGGACUCGCGGCUUAUCAGCUUGUUGGUGGGGUAGUGGCUUACCAAGGCUGUGACGGGUAGCCGGCCUGAGAGGGUGACCGGCCACAUUGGGACUGAGAUACGGCCCAGACUCCUACGGGAGGCAGCAGUGGGGAAUAUUGCACAAUGGGCGGAAGCCUGAUGCAGCAACGCCGCGUGCGGGAUGACGGCCUUCGGGUUGUAAACCGCUUUCGCCUGUGACGAAGCGUGAGUGACGGUAAUGGGUAAAGAAGCACCGGCUAACUACGUG